CAAUCAAUCAAUGCAUGUUUCCGUUUCAUGUGUUAAAUACGGGAUCCAAGAUGUUUUUUUUCCGCUUGUUUAAAUUGAGCCUAUCCAACGUGUUUAACCAGCCAACGUGUUUAACCAACGUGUUUAACCAACAUGUUUAACCAACCAACCACCCAACCAACCAACCAAUCAAUCAAUGCAUGUUUCCGUUUCAUGUGUUAAAUACGGGAUCCAAGAUGGUUUUUUUCGCUUGUUUAAAUUGAGCCUAUCCAACGUGUUAACCAGCCAACGUGUUUAACCAAUAUGUUUAACCAACGUGUUUAACCAACUUGUUUAACCAACGUGUUUAACCAACCAACCAACCAACCACAACCAACCAACCAAUCAAUGCAUGUUUCCGUUUCAUGUGUUAAAUACGGGAUCCAAGAUGUUUUUUUUCCGCUUGUUUAAAUUGAGCCUAUCCAACGUGUUUAACCAGCCAACGUGUUUAACCAACGUGUUUAACCAACGUGUUUAACCAACGUGUUUAACCAACCAACCAACCAACCAAUCAAUCAAUGCAUGUUUCCGUUUC
rnacentral:lncRNA from 1 species